UUGAAUUAAAUUAGUUACAACUGACAGAAAAAACCUCUCUCCUCUCUACAACUGCGAUUUCCGGCAGAGAGAAAAAAAAAUUUCCGGCAUCCAAACUGCUCAGAUCUUCUCAGAUCUGGGCAGUACCAACGUUAAUCUUCAAUUAAUUUUCUACGGAAAGAAACAAAGAAAGUAAAUAGUAGCCCUUAGUUUAAUCUUUACCAUCUCCUUCGAAACCCUAAACCAAGCCGCCAUGGAUUUAGCAGACGUCAUCGGCUAAAUCCUUGUUCAUCGGCCCUUCGAUUUCAAUUAGAUUGAUUGCUUGAGAAUUAUUUGUGAUACCAACUUUUUUCCUGGAGGUUUGAAUCGAAUUUGCUGCUGGAUGGGAUAUGGUCUUUUCAUCUGAAAUUUAUCGGCUCCAAUCUACUCAGAUAACCUCUCUGGCCCUGGUUUUCUUCUACAAUAUCCUAUUCUCUAUUCAACCAUGAGGAUAUUUUCACUUCUGCACCAAUAAUAUCGGGAUACCCAGCUAAAGGAUUUUAGCACCCCUUUCCACUAGAUUGUCAGUACCUAUCUACAACUUCACAAUUAACCUCAUAUAAGCAUGUUUGUGUAUUUGGUGAAACCUGUGGCGAACCAUAUACUCGCACGCAUCAUAUUCAGCAUUUUCUCAUGCUGGAAAAUUGUUUACUUCAAUCCUGGGAAGGUAUCACGUCUUCAAAUUUACUUCAUUCCUCAACAGCAAGCUUCAAUCCAAUUUGAUAUGCGAAUUGGCUGGUGAACUGGACAUUUUACUCGACAAGUUUUUCUUUUUAUCAAGUUAUCUGUUGUCUCUUAGUUCCUAGCUAGUUUACUUUAGUCUAUAAGUCUGUAAUCCCUCUUAUAUUUUUUCCGGGUUUUUAGUAAUUGUAGUAGUUACUAGUCUAGUACCUUAGGUUAAUCUAUUUGAGUUUGCAAUUCCUCUUAUAUCUACUUUUAGUUAUAGUAACCUUGUAAUAGCAAAAUAGGACUUCUAGCACUACUCCUUCAAGAGCAGAGAUUGGAUUCUACUUCAAGACACAACCAAAGCUAAAAAUCAAGAGCAGAGAUGGAUCAGAUAUCGUUCGGGCAGCUCAUUGCAGCAACAAGAUACAAAGGCCUGACUAACAUCUUCAAUCACCUGCGUCGAACACCGCUACCGCCAACAAAGUUCCUUUGGACACUGUCGUGUCCCCCAAAAGUACAAUUUUUCUUGUCGAAAGCAUUGACCGAAGGCCUUUCGACCUUUUACACCAACCACCCUCGAUGCAGUUCCGAACUGAAGACCGUUAUUCGGCUCCAGUAUCAAGUUGACGUAGAUUCAUGGCUUACCAAUCUUAUUGUACCUGAUGAAUCAUGGGGUAUAAUAUACUCUUAUGUAACAAUUUCCUAGUAGUCUAAUAAAAUUCAUGCUUCAAAAAAAAA